CUGAGUUUUACAACUCCCAACCCCUAUGUGAAUAUACCUAUCGUUGCUUCGGCGGGACCGCCCCGGCAUGCCCCGAAAGGGGCCGGCCCGGACCCGGCGCCCGCCGGAGGCCACCAAACCUUCUGUUUUGCAAACUGUAACGUCUGAGUGGUACCAUAAAUGAAUCA
rnacentral:misc_RNA from 1 species